GAAAGCAGGGAUCUUCGACUUGCGCUAUCGGAUGAGUCUAUGUCGAUAGCUGUGUGAGGUAAUGCUCACAAGGCGACGAUCCGUAGCUGUCUGAGAGGAUGAUCAGCCACAUCGGGACUGAGACACGGCCCGACUCUACGGGAGGCAGCAGUGGGAAUAUUGACAAUGGGCGAAAGCUGAUCCAGCCAUGCCGCGUGUGUGAAGAAGGCUUCGGGUUGUAAAGCACUUUCAGUGGGAAGAAAGCCUUGGGGCUAAUACCCUCGAGGAAGGACAUCACCCACAGAAGAAGCACCGGCUAACUCCGUGCCAGCAGCCGCGGUAAUACGGAGGGUGCGAGCGUUAAUCGGAAUUACUGGGCGUAAAGCGCGCGUAGGCGGUCUGAUAAGCCGGUUGUGAAAGCCCCGGGCUCAACCUGGGAACGGCAUCCGGAACUGUCAGGCUAGAGUGCAGGAGAGGAAGGUAGAAUUCCCGGUGUAGCGGUGAAAUGCGUAGAGAUCGGGAGGAAUACCAGUGGCGAAGGCGGCCUUUUGGACUGACACUGACGCUGAGGUGCGAAAGCGUGGGUAGCAACCAGGAUUAGAUACCCUGGUAGUCCACGCCGUACUCCGAUGUAGCAUACCCGUUGGGCUCCGGGAAAGCUCUGUGUACCCAGCUCACAUGGACCACUCACCG
rnacentral:rRNA from 1 species